UGUGUCUAAUGAAUGGGAAAUGUGGGAGAUCAUGUCUGAUUUAGAUGCAUGUUUGUUUGCUUUAUUAAGUUGUUCAUGAUGAGGAUUUUGAUUUACUUAUUUUGUUUCCAUUACAGUUCCAAACGUUGCGCUCAAUGUUACAAGCCAACCCACAAAUUUUACAGCCCAUGCUGCAGGAACUUGGAAAGCAAAACCCACAGCUUUUAAGAUUAAUUCAGGAGCACCAUGCCGAGUUCCUUCAGUUAAUAAAUGAACCUCUUGAGGGUUCUGAAGGGACCAAAAGGGAGAAAGGGAGCAGGGGUAGAAGCUUGGUAUUUUCAUAUCUGGAAUGAGGGGGCUAAGUUUGUCGUCAAUACAUAUAUCUAGGAGCUAUUAGAAUUAUUUUUUUGUCUUAAUGUAUGGAUGAUUGGGAAAUACAUCCUUUGUAGACACAUGUGAUUCUUUAAUGUAUGAAUCGGAGUACUUCAAUUGAUGAAUUGGAUUCAA